GUCCUAGCUGUAAACGAUGUUCACUAGAUGUGGGAGGUAUCGACCCCUUCCGCGUCGACGCUAACGCAUUAAGUGAACCGCCUGGGAGUACGGCCGCAAGGUUGAAACUCAAAGGAAUUGACGGGGCCCGCACAAGCGGUGGAGUAUGUGGUUUAAUUCGACGCAACGCGAAGAACCUUACCUGGGCUUGAACUGUCAGUGGUAGAAACCCGAAGGGCGACGAUCCGCAAGGAAGCUGAUAGAGGUGCUGCAUGGCUGUCGU
rnacentral:rRNA from 1 species